GAAUAUAGCGGUGAUUAUACCGUCAGACGUGACAUCUCCCUCCUUAGGAAAGUUCGGUCCCCGAACUUUUAUUAGAUUCUAAAGUGUGCCUGGCAGUGUAAGAGCUGUGUUGCUGCAGUUGGAUUUAUCUAAAUCGAGAGCUGGUUAUCUAUACUGUCACCGUGAUUUCGUUGGACGGAUAUGAUAAGGAUAAAUUAAAAGUGAGAAGAGGUAAUAGUGAGCUGAGACUGAAUUAAUAAGGAUAAAGGAUAAGUAUUUCAAUCUUAUUUUAUAAUCUUAUGAAUAUAUAUAUAUAUGAAUAAGAAUAUUAAUGUAUUUUCUUUCAUUUUAUUUCAGGUAAGGAAUAGGUACGAAAUUAUCCUGGAUGGGCUGGUUUUACGAGUGUGAAUAUGAAUACGUUAUAAUAGUAAUCUUACAAUUAGUAAAGCAUGUGAG